GAGUAAUGUCUGGGAAACUGCCUGAUGGAGGGGGAUAACUACUGGAAACGGUAGCUAAUACCGCAUAACGUCGCAAGACCAAAGAGGGGGACCUUCGGGCCUCUUGCCAUCGGAUGUGCCCAGAUGGGAUUAGCUAGUAGGUGGGGUAACGGCUCACCUAGGCGACGAUCCCUAGCUGGUCUGAGAGGAUGACCAGCCACACUGGAACUGAGACACGGUCCAGACUCCUACGGGAGGCAGCAGUGGGGAAUAUUGCACAAUGGGCGCAAGCCUGAUGCAGCCAUGCCGCGUGUAUGAAGAAGGCCUUCGGGUUGUAAAGUACUUUCAGCGGGGAGGAAGGGAGUAAAGUUAAUACCUUUGCUCAUUGACGUUACCCGCAGAAGAAGCACCGGCUAACUCCGUGCCAGCAGCCGCGGUAAUACGGAGGGUGCAAGCGUUAAUCGGAAUUACUGGGCGUAAAGCGCACGCAGGCGGUUUGUUAAGUCAGAUGUGAAAU
rnacentral:rRNA from 1 species